CUCCACCUAGGCACCCAUCUCCCUUAGCACCCACCUGGGCCCCAUGUCCACCUCAGCACCCAUCUCCCCCAUCACCCACCUCAGCCCCAAUGCCCCAUUCACCCACCUCAACCCCUAUCCAUCCCUACACCCAUCACAGCCCUCACUGGACCCACUACAGCCCCUAUACCUUCCUGCACCCAGUAUACCACCUAUCACUCUUCCAUUCUCUACAGCCACUAUCUCCCCAUGCACCUACUACAGUCCCUAUGCCCCCCUGCACCUACUAGAGCCCAUAUCCCCACAUGUAC